AUAAAUAAAUAGAAAAAAGGUUUUUAUAUACAAAUUGUCGCCCCUGAAUAAUUAAUCAUUUGGUGUUAAAUCGUUGAUAUUCAUACAUAUAAAAAUAGAAUGUACACAUAUACAUAUUGGAUAUAUUAAAGUAAAUAAAUUGGUAAUUGUAAAUCGGUUGGUUGAAUGAUAUGUACAUACAAAAAAUUAGAGAAAAGAAAAUAAAUGAAAUACUGGUUCUUAAGUUCCAAAUUCAUUUACUAAAAUGCUAAAAUUGCUUCCCUACGCAGUUGCUUCAAGAGGCGAAAAAAUCCAUCUUAUUUAAUCCAUUAAAAAUGACUUUCCUACUAGUAAAUUCCCCCCGCAAUAUACACUAUUCCUUUUUUUUUAUUAGUAUUUAUGAAUAACAAUCAACAGUUCCUUUUAAUAAUACGUGAUUUUAAACUAUAACGUAUCUAUUUGUUGCAAAAAGAUUGUGACUCGUUCACAGAAAUGAAAUGUAUAUAACUUAUAAAAGAAUGAGAAAUUACUUACAGAAAGUGUUGCAUAUUAUAAUCCCUUAAUAAAAUUGAACAGAAAUGAGAUACUUAACAAAUACGUUCGUUCACAUCAAAGUUAUUUUAUUAACGAUUUAUUUAUUGGCAUCAUACAAUAGGUUUAUGUUUAAUGAUUAAGAAUAAUUUUUCUUUUUAACAAGGUAAAACCAGAUAGGAGUUAUUUGACGAAACAAAGAGUUGAUAAAACAGAAAAACGAAAAUGAAAUGUUAUCUACAAUACUUAUUAAAUAUCCACAAACAAGUCUGAAUGAUCAGUUACAAAUGUAUUAAGUACAAAAAGGAAAACAAGAAUAUAUCAAAUUUAAAACCAAUAAGUCGUUAUUUUAUGAAACAAAAUCCAUAACACUAAUCGGAAAGUUCGUUGGCAAAAGAAUAUACAUAAAAAAGAAACAAGGCAGUAAGUAGGGCAGUUUCUUGAUGAAACUAAAACCACAAAACUAGUCGGAUAAGUCGCUUGUAAAAGUAAAAAAAAAAAAAGGAAAACAAGACUUUACUAACUUUAAAACUAAAGGGUAGUUACUUAUGUGAAACAAAAUCAACAACACUAAUCAGAACGAUUUAUUGCAAGAGUAGAAAGUAUUGAAAAGUUCACUUAUUUAACCUUUUAUAACUAAAACACCAAUUUCUUCUACAUAUGUGCAAAUAAACUUUGUUUUCAAAACAUUGCAGCAAGAGAUUAGUAUGUAGCGGUUUUAAAUUAAAUAAAUUACAUUUUAAGAUAUUGUUUCUAAUUGUUACUAUAGCGUCAGGCAUCAAAAUCUUAAAACCAAUCAAAAUAUCCUCUGCCUAAUUAGGUAAAAAACGUUCAAAUUCACGAUUAAAAUUUUAGUGACCUCGCCCCUCAGUAAACGUUUCUAAGAUUGAUAAAAAGUGGAUCUCCUUAUUAACAAGGUAAAUAGGUAGUUAUUUAAGUCAAUAUAAUACAUUUAACUCUUGAAAUAUCCACCCCAAUAAAUAUUUCUUUUUAAAACGUAUUUACGAAAAUGGUUUACUGUUGUAAUAAAAAUAGUUUUGUGGCAUAUCCUCGACCAUUAAUGUAUUGAUACUAAAAUAGAUCGAACAACUAGCUGAUUGGUAGAAGUAAACACAUAAUUUUGCUGUGUUGUAUCUGUUUGAACGUACUUUUGUGUUUUGUUGUAUAACGCAUUAUUUUCUUUAGUUGUUGGUAAAAGAGCACCUAUCGGAUUGUUACGUUUAAUGGUGUUAAUUCUUGCGAAUGCUACAUUCUCAUAUUUGAAAAAUUUCUGUAAUGUUCAUGUAAUGUUCUUUACAAACACAGGCAAAAUACAUUACUUACGCUUUCAUGAUGCUUCCUUAUACCAAAAUAAUUAAACUAAUUGGUGGCGCCUUCUGCAAUCUGAUAUUUGAAACUGAACUGAAAUGCCCGAAGUAGAAAAUCUUCUGUCGCAAUAAGUAAGAAAAAGACAGAAAAAUUAUUGAUUAAAAUUAGCGUUCGGUAUAUAUCUAGAUCCUUAAAAUAAAAUGCAUUAACAUAAAAGUUAAUAUAACCAUUAAUUGAUAAUCGAUAAUAUUAUAAUAUUAUGAGAUAUAUGUAACUUUCUUACAACUACCUAAGCUUAUUAAUGAACAAAAAAGGUUUCUUUUUUAAUUUAAAUUCAAAACGGUGAGCAAUAUUCCUUGUCAAAAUCGGUAAAAAGAAAAUGUAAACCACAUAAGUUCCUUCAAAUAUCCAAAGAGAAGCUAAUCUAUACUCCCUUCCUAAUCUUAAUUAAUACCAAACAGAAAUUAAAAAGCGAAAAUGUAAGUUUAAUGUACUUUUACAUGUGUGCCUGUUGUAACGCAUUAUUUUCGUUAAUUGUAAGUAAAAUAGAAGAUAUUUGAUUGCUUUUAUUUCACCCAUGAAUAACGAUUUCACUGACGGUUUUUUUGGUGUAAUUUAUUAGUGUUUUGGAAUUGCUUGGAUUGCACUUAUUGCUUACCACUGUAAAUUGUUAAUCGAAUGUCGUAUCAGAUUAAUCCCUCACGUAUUAAAUCUGGCUAUAGAUGGGACAACAGCUUUUUUUUAAAUAUAUAUAUACAUACAGUAAAUAUUUGAUAUCACGAGCUUUAUUAAUAUUGCAUGUGUUUCAACUAAAUGUUACAAUAUAUAUAUAUGUAUGGAAACGCUAUUUCUUAUCAAAAUGCUAUUGACGAGAUGCUUUUGUUUAUUUUGUAUGGGUACUACGAUAAAUUAACUAAAUAGAAUUUUUGUUUCACGUUAAAUUAUAGAUAUUAAUAUUGUCUUUGACUCCUCAUUGCUUGCUUGAUGCUGCUUCUGGCAAUUCAUUGAAAUGAAAUUAUAUAUUGAAACCAAAGUUAAUUAACUAAUCGAAAAUUUGGUCCCAAUCGUAAAACAAUUAAACUACCAAUAAAUGAUUUUGAUAACUAUAAGAAUUCCCACUGAAAAAUUGUAAUAAAUGCGUAUAUAAUUAAAUGAAAAUAUAUUUAUUAAUUAGUAAUUUCAUUAGCAGAAAAUAUAGAAUAAUAUGCGUUUGUUUUACAACUUCGUAACAUACAUCUAGCGAUAGUAAUAGUAAUUAAUUUCUGUCUUUUGAAAAAUUAAUUGUACCUACUUAUCUUACUCAAAUAAAGAAUCACAAGGUCGAAUCGUUUUACAUGUUUUCUUAUAAGAAAUAACUCUACAAAGUAAGACAAUUAUAAAAUCGUUCCUCAUUUAUGAUUGAUAAUGUAAAAUAAUAUUAAAAUUUGAAAAGGUAAAACAAUUUUCACUUAAAACCCUAUUAGAAAUGAUAAAAUUAAUAACUACACAUUUGUGUAUAUAUAUAUCAAUAUUUUAUAAAAUUGUCAGUUGAUACAUGGGUAUGUAAUUUGAAAUCCUUCUGUUAUAUAUUGUGUUCUUUGAAUUGACGUGUUAUAUAAAUGUUGAAAAACGGAUUAUUUAGAAAAAAACUGGACUUUUCCAAUUUCCUUUGAUAUAAAGUACGUGUUAUGGUUUUUUUGGUUAUUUAUAAGAAUAUGAAACAGCCAUUUAAUUGUUGAAAGGGUAUCUAACAGAAAAUAGUUAUUGAAAUAUAGGUAGACCUACUUAUUAGUGGUAUAUGCAUCUAUAUAUAUGUAGGGAUAAUCUUGAUGAUAAAAUAUGAAGGUCGUUUACAAAGAAAAGGUGGUAUAAAAUCAAACUUAUUUUCAUUAUGGAGUCUUCCAAUAUUACUUAAAAUAAUCCAUGAAAUAAAAUAACUCCCCCCUAAAUAAUUAAGUAGUAGGUACACUCAAAUAGGAUUCUUAAAGUAAGGUAUCGAAGAUAUUUAAGAGUGUUUAAUAUAAACCCCACAAAUAUUUACUAAAAGGUUUCUAAUUGUAAAAAGGUAUAAGUUGAAAGUGGAGGUGGGUGGGACAAUAAAAAAUAAACAAACAGGUAUAACAAAUUUUAAACAAGACUACGGUAAAUGAAUGCGCUAAAUAUUGUUUACAUGAGAGUAAGACGGUAAAAUGAUAAUAUGGACAGUGAAUGUACCCACUAUAAUUAAAAUGUUAACAGAACUGUGAAUUGUUAGGUAGGAAUAUACUAUACAUCGACUUAUGAAAGUGUUGAAAUAUAAGGUAAUUUUUUAUGGUGGUUAAUUAACAGUGUGUCAUAAUUUGACCAAAUACCGCAGUCAUUGUAAUACAAAAAGUAAUCCCUUUGGUAGAAAUCGAACACCUAAAUACGAACAGUAGAACAAAAAGCGAAAAAUUAACGUUUUCUGUAAUUGAACGCAUGAAUGGUAGUUAUUUAUAAUUGUAAUAGGUAUGUAAAAAUAAAAGAAAAAAGUAAUUGCGUUUUGGUAAAAAUUUAACCCCCAUAAAGAACAAGGAAAUACAGCAGCAGCGUUCAUAGCAACAUAUAUUCUACUAUAAUGGACAUGAGAUUGUAAAAGAAAGGAAAAUGAAAAAGGUAAAAGAAAUAUUUGAAUAGGAUAAUGAAAUUAAUAUAUACUGUUUAUGGUAAAAAUUUAAUCUAUAAAAAACGAUAAAAAAAAAUAUAUUUAGGAGAACGUAAAGAAGAGACUUCGGGAAAUGAAAAUCCAUUUAAUGUACAAAAAGGUGGAAAGUUAGCGUUUUUGAUAAAGAUUGAACAGACUUACAUGAAAAAAUGUCUAUGGACAAAUUUGAACUGAAGUAAAACAAUGUUUGGUAGUUUUUUAUGCAACUCAGGGGUAAAAGAAAAGGAAACGUUUACGACAAGGAAAUAGGCAAAAGAAACACUAGCCUUGGACAAAUAAAUCAAUAGUUAUUAUAGUAAAGGUCUAAUAAACAUGAGAAGGUAAAAGAAAAGCAGAUAUUUACAGAAACGUAAAGAAGAGACUUUGGGAAAUGAAAACCCAGUUCAAGUAUAAAAAGGUAGAAAGGUAGUAUCGUAUCUAAGGCAAAAAUUGAAUUCACUUAUAAGGAAAAAAUGUCCACGAAAAAUUUUGAACAAAAGUAAAACAAUGUUUGGUAAUUAUCUAAUAGAAAUGCGAGGGCAAAAGAAAAGGAAACGUUUACUACAACAAAAUAUGUAAAAGAAAUAUUGCCAUAGGGAAAAGAAAAUAAUAUAGUGUUUAUAGUAAAAGUCUAAUAAAUAUAAAAGGGUAAAUGAAACGGAGAUAUUCACGAAAACGUAAAGAAGAGACUUUGGUAAAUGAAAACCCACUUAAGGUACAAAAACGUAAAAAGGUAGCGUCUUUGGUAAUAAUUGAACACAGUUACAUGAAAAGACAAGAAAAUGUCUACGGAAAAAGAUGAACAGAAGUAAGACAAUGUUUGGUAGCGAUUUAAUAAAAAUGAGAGGGUGAAAUAAAAGAAAUAGAUAAAAGAAACACUGGUAGAUAUAGGGCAAAGAAAUUAAUAGUUUUAUGGUAAAGGUCUAAUAAAUAUGAAGGGGUAAAUAAAACGAAGAUAUUUACGAAAAGGUAAAGAAAAAACUUUAGAUACUAAAAAACCCACUUAAGGUACAAAAAGGUAGAAAGGUAGCGUCUUUGGUAAUCAAUGAACACACUUACAUGAAAAGACAAGAAAAUGUCUACGGAAAAAGAUGAACAGAAGUAAGACAAUGUUUGGUAGCGAUUUAAUAAAAAUGAGAGGGUGAAAUAAAAGAAAUAGUUAAAAGAAACACUGGCAUAGGGCAAAGAAAUUAAUAGUUUUAUGGUAAAGGUCUAAUGAAUAUGAAAGGGUAAAUAAAAUGGAGAUAUUCACGAAAACGUAGAUAAAAGACUUUGGAAAAUGAAAACCCACUUAAGGUACAAAAACGUAGAAAGGUAGCGUCUUUGGUGAUAAUUGAACAGACUACAUGAAAAGAUAAGAAAAUGUCAACGGAAAAAGUUAAACAGACGCAAGACAAUGUUCGGUAGCGAUUUAAAAAAAAAAUGAGAGGGUGAAAGAAAAGAAAUAGGUAAAGGAACACUGGCAUAGGACAAAGAAAUUAAUAGUGUUUAUGGUAAAGGUCGAAUGAACAUGAAAGGGUAAUUGAAACGGAGAUAUUCACGAAAACGUUAAAGAAGAGACUUUGGAAAAUGAAAACUCGCUUAGGUAUAAAAAGGUAGAAAGGUAGUAUUUUCGGCAAAAAUUGAAUUCACUUAUAGGUAUGUAUGAAAGGAUAAAAAAUGUCUACAAAAAAAUUUUGAAUAAAAGUAAAACAAUGUUUGGUAAUUAUCUCAUAGAAAUGAGAGCGCAAACGAAAAGCAAAUGUUUACUACAAGAAAAUAGGUAAAAGAAAUAUUGUCAUAGGGCAAAGAAAAUAAUAUAGUGUUUAUGUCAAAAGUCUAAUAAAUAUGAGAAGGUAAAUGAAGAGAGAGGAUAUAUUGAUGAACACGUAAAGAGAUUGGGAAAUGAAGACUCACUUGGGUACAAAAAGGUAGAAAGAUUUUUGGUAAUAAUUGAACAGACUUGCUAAAAAGAUAAGAAAACGUAUGCAGAAAGAAGUUGGUAUAUGGUAAAGGUCUAACAAAUAUGACAGGGCAAAAGAAUAGGAAAAAUUUACGAAAAGUCACGUCUUUGGUACAAAAUUGAACAGACUAAUGAAAAAGGCUAAUAAAAGAUGCCGCAAAUGCACUUGCAUAAUAUGGCAAAAUUUAUGAAAUGUAGAAGGAGUUAUUGAAUGAAUAUCUAGGACAGCUACAAAUGAAACAGAAACGUUACAUCUUUGGUAUUAAUUAAAUAAAAUUAUACGAAACGAUUAAAAUGUAUAUAUAUAUUCAAUAAUUAAAUAAGAGUAAAACAACGUUUGGUAGUGAUUUAAUAGAAAAUAGGGAGUAAGAUAUAAGGAAAUGGUAACGUUAUUCUACUAAAGAGAAAUAUUACAUAAUAUCUAACUCUCAAAAUGAGUCGGUUGUAUAAGACAAAAAACCUAAUAAGGUUGGUAAAAAUUUGACAAAUAAUAAAGAAAAUAUUUACGAAUAUUAAAACAAAAAGCACUUUCCGGUAAUUGAAUACCCAAUAAAGAUACAACCAAAAUAGAAUAGUAGCGACUUCGGCGAAAAUUGAACGGACUUGCCUAAAAGGAAGGAAAUGUAGGAUAAUCAAAAUAAUAAGCGGGGUUAACCCAUUUCUCCAGUAUAUGCUUUAUAAAUUGAAUGGUUUUAACAUAUGUGUCCUGUUUUAAAGAAUAUAUUUAAUGAAACUAUUUGAAGUUUUGGUGGAAUUAUUUUAAAAUACCAUGCAGUUAACCUCUGUAUUAUCGAUUUCGUCUUUACUUAUGUAACUUAAAAAUUUCCGGGAAAAAGCCCACAAUCGAAUGUUUUUUUGUUUAAUGCCUACAGUUUUAUAUAUCUGAAGAGUUGAUAGUUAUUGUUACAUUUAAAAUGUUGAGGGAUAUAAUAGAAAAUAUUUAUUGUAAAAAUUUAACAGAUAUUGGAGAGUAAAAGUAACAGUAGCCGUUUUGGUGAAAUAUGAGCAAUGACGAGGAUUCAAAAAGGGAAGUGUCUGUGAAUGAAUUACUGAAUAUCUACGAAGAGUUAGUGAACAAAAAUUUGCAUCUUAAACAAUAAAAAUUGCUUUUGGUAAAAAUCAAUCCAAUAAUCAAUAUAUAAGAAACGUUUACACCUGUUUUGAUAUAAUUAAUGUGAAAUCAAUUUGAUUUUUUUUGUAUGUUAUUAACGUUUAACCCCUUACGAAUCUUUCAAACGAGCUUACUUAACAUAAAACAAAAUUAACAUUUUGAUUGGAUGUGCCGUUUGUUACGUACUUAUUACUAAUGUUCUAAAUAUUGUUUUAAGUUCAUGCUCCACGAAGUUAAAUUUCUGUUUGUUGGGAGUAUUCCCCUUUUUCGGAUUAUUUUACAAAUUAUACAAUAAAAUGUUAAAUGGUAGCAGCUGACUCAUUUCUUCUACCUGCAUUGAAUAUCGAGCAAUAACUAUAUUACUACCCUUAUCAUUCCGCAAAUUUUUCUACAAAAGAAAACUUGAACUCGAACUGAAUGAAAUUGCAAAUAAAACGCGUUUAUAAUCGUGAAUAGAAGAUGAAAUUUCUGUAUGAACAAAUAAUCAAUCUAUCUAAAUUAGUUGGUAAUUAUAAAAAAAAAUCUUAUGUUUCUCUAUUCUACGAUACAGGGUAUAAGAAAUUAAGCAAAGUUUUGUGUAACUAUUGAAACAGUUAAGAAGGGUGACAUUGAAAGAAAAGGGUAGCGUCAAUGGUAAAAAUGAAAUAGACAUAAAAGUGUAACACAAAGGAAAUAUUAUGUUAAUGAUAAACACUCGACAGUUACGAAGACUGAAGGUAUUUAAUGAAUAGCAUCUGUGGCAACAAUUUAACAGAACAGGGUAAUAGAUGAAAGCAAUGCGUUGAACAGUCAUUCAAUAGGAGUAACAAUAAAAAGGAGAAGGUUUAUGGUAAAAAUUAAACAGGUAUGAAGGAAUAAUAGAAAAGAAACAUGUUUAAUGUCGAACACUAAAGGUACACAAAAGCCAUCACCUCUUUUAAAAGUAUCAAUAAAAGAAGAUUAACAUUUGUGAUAAAUAUUAAACAGGCAUGAAAGAAUAACUGAAAGGAAGUAUAAUGUUCAUGAUAAACACUGCACAGCUACAUUGAGCAAAGGCAUAUAUAUACCAGCACCUAUAGUAAUAGUUAUUAUUAAACAGAUGAAACAGGGUAAAAUGUACUAAAAAAAUGACAUCAGACAAAAACGAGUAGCAUAUGAAAAAGUAGUAGAAAAAAAUAAAAUGGCCAUGAUGAACACUGAACAGUUAGAAAGAGUGAAGGUAUAUAAAAAUGGUAUCCUUUGUAAGGAAUUGGGUAAUUAACGAAAGCAAUGUCUUGAGUAGCAAUUCAACAGUUAGGAAGAGAGUAAUACUGAGAAAAGAAUGUUGACUAGAAUUGUUUUGUAUAAAUAAACGGUUAAGAUUGUAAUAGUGAAAAAGAGAAUCACAUCUAGAGCUGUUUAAAACAAUAGAAUAGGGUAAUGGGAAAAACAAUGUCUAAUAAUUGAAUAGUUAACAAGGAUAAUAGCGAAAAAAGAGUAGGGCCUAUAGUAAAAUUUAAAUAGGUCGAAAGAGUAAUAGAAAAUCAGGAUAAUGUCCAUGAUAAUCUCUGAACAGUUAAGAAAGAUAACAAAUAUAUUGGGUAAUAGAAAAGAAAUAUAAUGUCCAUGAAAAUUCACUUUGAAAAACUGAUUUGAUUUCCAUAUUAAAACGUGCCCAAAAUGGAUACCGUGUGUACUUAUAUGUGGUAAAUGCAUAUGCAUAAAUAAAUAACGUAUGUGGACAGGGCUCUUGCCGACGAAAGAAUAUGUAUAACCCUGCUAUAAAUUAAUAGAUGAUCUGUAAAUAGAAGUAUUUAAUAUAUAAAAUGAAAUAUUGCAAGUGGAGGUGGGUGGGACUAAAAAAUAAAAAACAAUAGAAAAUUGUAAAGGUAAUGUUUAUCUUACGGAACAUUUGUUAACGUUAUGUUAAAAUAAACUUAAAAUAGACAAUGCAACGAAAAAUUGGAAAAACAAUGUUUAUUACAUGAAUGGUAAAGGAAUAUCUUCGGUAAAAGCGAAAUACGUAUGUUAUAAAGGAUAAUGAAAAUAUAAGCAAGAUUUAUGGCAAAAAUUUAACAAAUGUGAGGAUUAGGAAAAACAAAUGUUAUAUAUUAGUAAUUACCUAACACAGUACAUAACAUUAACAUCUUGAAGAUCUUACAAGAUACGUGUUUUGAAUAAUUUACCAUUUUAAAUGCAAACUUCACGAACUUCGUUUAAAUUUACACUUGGUAUCGUAUUUCUUUGCAGAUUGUACAUCAAACGGAAAUGGUAAAUAAUGGCAAGUCAUUUCUUCUAGUUGCGUGCUAUAUCCAAUAAUAAUGAUCAAAAUUUUGCUAAAUACAAUAUAGAAAUUCAUCUCUAACGUUUUAACCUUUUCUUUUUUCUAAUAGAAUGCUAUUAACAUUCUACUUUUUCCGAUAUAUUUCUAUUUAAUUCUACAAAUAAUACUCUACAAAUUGAGGAGACAGUUACUCUUAUAUGGAUUCUAGGAUAAUUCUAAGGCAAUGAUCAUCAGGCAAUAGUUUCAACUUUAACUUCAUGAAUUAACAAAUCUACUUAAAUUAUUUCGUAACAAAAUUCUUUUUUCUUAGCAUUUUCGGCCCUAAAUAUUCGAAAUUUUAAAUAGAAAUAUCAUAAUUGGACGUAGAAAUUAAUUUUUUUUUCAGCAUAAAACAGCAACAUGGGAUACUUCGCUAAAAAAGGAUUUAAAAAUAUUAUACACACCUACAGUUUCUUGUGUUUAUGAGUGUACUUUUCAAGUGAAAAUAUUUUAAAAGAAGAAAUUAUACUCUCUACAAUUAAUG
rnacentral:lncRNA from 1 species